GGGCUGAGGACUUAACUCAGUGAUAAAACGACUCUGAAUUCAAUCCCCAGUACAAAAAAAUAAAAAACAAAUAAAAAAUUUUUUAAAAUUUUCCUCUUCUAAAUUGAAUCUCUUGAAAUCAUGGUUUUGAUGUAUUUUAUACUUUUUUUCUAAUACACAUUAUAAUAAAUAUAUAACUAGUCAGUGUAUAAGCUACCAACUUUUAACAUGAAGAUUGGACUAAGGUCAAUGGACUUGAAAAAUCUGUGAGCCCUGUGAUGAUAAUAUUUAUUAUAGUUACCCAAUUCUAGCACAUUUAUCUGGUUUCAUCAGAUGAAAGCAAAUUGGAAUGGCAGAGGGGAAGAAGAACAUGUUUACUCUUGGAUGUUUUUGUGAAAUCAGCUGCCUUCUCCCCCCAAAUUAAGGCCUUUUGUUUUGUUUUUAUAUCACAUUCUAUACACCUACUUUUUGGCAAGGUCUGCAUAUGCUAAUGUUAGCAUUUAUAAUAUGUUGUUUGCAUCCAAUGGUGCUGAACUUCUUAUUCUAGUACCAUAUUUAGAGGGGCAAAUGACAGAGACAGGAUUUUGUUAUGGUGGAGGGAUGUCUGAAACUGAUAGAUCCUGUGCUUUCAACAAUUGGAGGAAGUGAAUUAUGGAGCCAGGAAACAGCAUGCACUGUGCUUUUAUUUAUUUAUUUAUUUAGCAAUGUUGGGGGUUGAACUC
rnacentral:lncRNA from 1 species